rnacentral:rRNA from 1 species
CCUACGGGAGGCAGCAGUGAGGAAUAUUGGUCAAUGGGCGGAAGCCUGAACCAGCCAAGUAGCGUGCAGGAUGACGGCCCUAUGGGUUGUAAACUGCUUUUAUACAGGAAUAAAGUUAGCCACGUGUGGUUAUUUGUAGGUACUGUAUGAAUAAGGACCGGCUAAUUCCGUGCCAGCAGCCGCGGUAAUA